CCUACGGGUGGCAGCAGUGAGGAAUAUUGGUCAAUGGUCGGGAGACUGAACCAGCCAAGCCGCGUGAGGGAUGACUGCCCUAUGGGUUGUAAACUUCUUUUAUAUGGGAAUAAAACAGGGUAUGUAUACCCUCUUGUAUGUACCAUAUGAAUAAGGAUCGGCUAACUCCGUGCCAGCAGCCGCGGUAAUACGGAGGAUCCGAGCGUUAUCCGGAUUUAUUGGGUUUAAAGGGAGCGUAGGUGGCUUGUUAAGUUAGUUGUGAAAGUUUGCGGCUCAACCGUAAAAUUGCAGUUGAAACUGGCAGUCUGGAGUACAGUAGAGGUGGGCGGAAUUCGUGGUGUAGCGGUGAAAUGCGUAGAUAUAACGAAGAACUCCGAUUGCGAAGGCAGCUCGCUGGACUGCAACUGACGCUGAUGCGCGAAAGUGUGGGUAUCAAACAGGAUUAGAUACCCCAGUAGUC
rnacentral:rRNA from 1 species